CUGAGUGAGGGCUCACGCCCGACCUCCAACCCUUUGUGAACACAUCUUGUUGCUUCGGGGGCGACCCUGCCGUCUCGCACGGCGGGCGCCCCCGGAGGCCAUCAAACACUGCAUCAUUGCGUCGGAGUUUAAGUAAAUUAAACA
rnacentral:misc_RNA from 1 species